CUUAUACAAGGCAACAUAACAGCUAGAAUUUAAAUGUAAAACUGCCCGAUUCCAAAUCCACACUCUUUCUACUACAAGGCCUUGCCCCCUUCUCUGGGCCACACCAACAUCGCAGUUGCAGGCGAAGAGGCCAUGUCUAAUGACUGCCCCCUUUACAUGCCAACCUAGUCAUGGUCAUGGUGGUGUGAUAUCUAAAAACAAAAUGGAACCACCAUGAAAAAUUUGUCUCUGAGGACCCAGAGUAGUAAAAUCCCAGGAUAAGGAAGGCCUUUAGCGGAUAUAUGGCCUGCUGUCCCGUUCAGUCUAGAAAACGCCUCCUCAGGGUCCCUGCAGAUGGUCACCUCCCUCUGCAGGAGGACGUCCAGUGGGAGGAGAGCCACUUCCCCAGGUCUCCCUGACACUAAUGUCAGAAGAAUUUCAUAUUCAAAGGACAUCAUCAGCUCUCUUGUUAGAAGGGGUCCAGGCUGAACACCCUCUUUUCUCUCAAUGAUCCCAGCUAUGACACAGUUUUCUGAUCUUCAACAUCCUGGAGGCCCAAGACUAUUCAAAUAUGUCACAAAUAUCUCUAAUCACAUCUUGUGAUUAUGACUUGGAUAGAAGAUAAACAUUAUUUCCAUAA
rnacentral:lncRNA from 1 species